ACCAAUUGGUCCCUGUUUCAAUCUGUACUUUGGCAAGUUUAUUUUUCAAUGAUUGAUUGGCUCGUUCAACGAGUCCAGCAGCCUAUGGCCGAUAGGCACAAUGUCAUUACUGUUGGAUGCCCAUCUGAACACAGAAUUCUUUGGUCACCUUUCCCACAAAAUGAGGGCCAUUAUCCAAAUUCAGCCCAGUUGGGAUUCCAUACCUGGAUAUAAUUUCUUUCAUAAGUACUUUAACAACCGUAGAAUCUUUGUUGUCCACGGUAGGAUAAGCUUCAAUCCAUUUACUAAAGACAUCUACAAUAACCAAUACAUAUUUAUAACACUGACAUCUUUCCAAAUCAAUGUAGUCCAUCUGGAGGAUCUCAAAGGGACCCAUGGGUAAGGAGGUUCUCCCUUGUUCGCAGGUUAUACCCUUCUCGUGGUUAUAUUGCUGACAGGUCAGACAACGACUACUAAUCCCCUGAGCCAGAGUCUGCAACUUUGGAUGCCACCAUGUUGCAUGGGGGCCA